CGUGGAAGAGGACCUGGACGUUCUCGACCUUCGACAGGUCGUCAGACAGGCGGCCGCGCGCCACGGCGGUGCCGUUUCCACCCUCACGCGGC
rnacentral:tRNA from 1 species